UACGUAGGGUGCAAGCGUUGUCCGGAAUUAUUGGGCGUAAAGAGCUCGUAGGCGGUCUGUCGCGUCUGCUGUGAAAACCUAGGGCUUAACUCUGGGCGUGCAGUGGGUACGGGCAGGCUAGAGUGCGGUAGGGGAGACUGGAAUUCCUGGUGUAGCGGUGAAAUGCGCAGAUAUCAGGGAGGAACACCGGUGGCGAAGCGGGUCUCGUGGGCCGUAACUGACGCUGAGGAGCGAAAGCGUGGGGAGCGAACAGG
rnacentral:rRNA from 1 species